rnacentral:rRNA from 1 species
CCUACGGGAGGCAGCAGUGGGGAAUAUUGCGCAAUGGGGGCAACCCUGACGCAGCAACGCCGCGUGAUUGAAGAAGGCCUUCGGGUUGUAAACUUCUUUUGUCAGGGAGCAAUUGGGUCCACGCGUGGGCUUAGCGAGAGUACCUGAAGAAAAAGCAUCGGCUAACUCCGUGCCAGCAGCCGCGGUAAUACGGAGGAUGCGAGCGUUAUCCGGAUUUAUUGGGUUUAAAGGGUGCGUAGGCGGAAUAUCAAGUCAGCGGUAAAAAUUCGGGGCUCAACCCCGUCGUGCCGUUGAAACUGAUGUUCUUGAGUGGGCGAGAAGUAUGCGGAAUGCGUGGUGUAGCGGUGAAAUGCAUAGAUAUCACGCAGAACUCCGAUUGCGAAGGCAGCAUACCGGCGCCCAACUGACGCUGAAGCACGAAAGCGUGGGUAUCGAACAGGAUUAGAUACCCUAGUAGUC